rnacentral:tRNA from 1 species
GCGAGAGUGGCGGAACCAGGUAGACGCGCCGGACCUAGGAUCCGGUGGCCGAAAGGCCGUGGGGGUUCGAGUCCCCCCUCUCGCA